AGCCAGAUCUGCCAUGGGCAGGUGCUUGCUGUAUAAUCAGCAACCCAGAGCCUGGGCCUGCCACCAAUAAACAAGCACAGGGGUGCAGUGCUCUCUGGAAGACUGUGUGCUUCCCACUGUAGUUCCUGCAAGGAGAAAUUGAGUGAGGAAAAGGAACAAGUAUUACAUGUCCUGUUCAAUGACUCGACUUCUCUCAGACCCUGAGUGCCCUUAACAGCCAUGCCUCAAACCCUGUGAACACUGAUCUUACAGCUCUGCCAAGGGGUGGCUACUACACUUCCAGAGUGUGUAACACUGUGCAGCCUGGAGCUUUCAGCACUCAAGAAUUCAGCUUCCUGUACAAUUGCUCUGCUUGUGCGUGGGAAAGGUGUAAGUUUUCUUCAGCUGCAUCUGCAGUGCUGUGGCAG